GCUGCUCCGGGCUGACGGGAUGAAAGCUAAUAAGGGAAAGAACGCAGCGAUACAGAUGGGAUUUACGCAGAGAAAUUUAAAGAAACGAAGAGAAAAUGCAACCAAAUAGAUGCAGCGUUCAGCCCUAAACAGAUGGGAACCUGUCAGCACAACGUGGAGAUAAUCAUCCGUUCGAGCCAUGGGAAGCUUCGUGGCUGAGAGGAAGUUAUUGCAGCCAACACAGCUCUGCUUUAUCGUCUCACCAGCUUCCUUGGGCAGAGCAUAUUGGGGGGGUUUAAAGGAAGGUGAAUUCCCAAUGGAUUUUUUGGGGUUAUGCAAACAGCCGCCUUCUGAGAUGGGCACACGUGUGAUGCUCACCUAAGCAAGCAGUGCUUUUCCCCUUGGAAACACCCCCUGAGCAUCUGCGAGUCCUUUGCUUUCAUUUUAGUAUUACUGCUAGCAAAUUUCCAAUUGGUUAGAGAAGAAAUCGUUCCC
ensembl:lncRNA